rnacentral:rRNA from 1 species
CUACGGGUGGCUCCAGUGAGGAAUUUUGCGCAAUGGGGGAAACCCUGACGCAGCAACGCCGCGUGAGUGAUGAAGGCCUUCGGGUCGUAAAGCUCUGUCAAGUGGGAAGAACCUAUCCAAGGGUAAUAUUCUUGGGUACUGACGGUACCACUGAAGGAAGCACCGGCUAACUCCGUGCCAGCAGCCGCGGUAAUACGGGGGGUGCAAGCGUUAUUCGGAAUUAUUGGGCGUAAAGGGCGCGUAGGCGGUUUUGUUAGUCAGAUGUGAAAGCCCGGGGCUCAACCCCGGAAGUGCAUUUGGUACUGCAAGACUUGAGUAUGGGAGAGGGAAGUGGAAUUCCUGGUGUAGAGGUGAAAUUCGUAGAUAUCAGGAGGAACAUCUGUGGCGAAGGCGACUUCCUGGACCAAUACUGACGCUAAGGCGCGAAGGCGUGGGUAGCAAACAGGAUUAGAUACCCUAGUAGUC